CACGUAUAGAUGGACAAGAAUAGGCUCCGGCUUAGUGUCUUAGCAGGCGAUUCCUCCACGGCGCUCGAAGCGCGUCGUGGUAUUUCGCGUAUUGUAAUUUCAACACGAGCGGGGUCAAAUCCUUUGCAGACGACUUAGCUGUGCGAAACGGUCCUGUAAGCAGUAGAGUAGCCUUGUUGUUACGAUCUGCUGAGGGUAAGCCGUCCUUCGCCUAGAUUUCCCCAAUGUACGCCCCGCAAGACGGGGCCGCGUAGGGGUUGCGGCGGGCGGGUGUAGGGUAGGCCGGUGUGACUUGGCGUGUUCGACACGCCUGUCGGGGCAUCCGAGCAUGCUGCGCUGGGGGGUCGGUAUAGGGUAGGCUGCUUGGACUUGGCCGCGGUGACGGUAGUCCUCGCGGUUCUACGCCCGGAAUCCGGUGUAGGGUAAGCUGCUCUGGGGUGUAGGGUAGGCCGGUCUGACUUGGUCGCGGCGAGAGUCUCGACGAUUCGGGUCGUAUCUGUGGUGUAGGGUAGGCUGGUUAGACUUGGUCGUAUCGUUGGGUGCUUAGCGGGGUGUGGUAUAGUGCAUGAGGUAUAGGGUAGGCUACCCUAUAGCGCAGGUGGUGUAGGGCAGGCCGGUCUGACUUGGUCGUAUCCUCGCGCACUUCGCGGGCGGCGGUAUAGGGUAGGUGCAUUGGUGUAGAGUAGGCUCAAUUUGACUCUUCAGCCAGUACGGAGAAAUGCGUGCGAAAUGGUUUUGCGGUCUGGUGGCCGUGAGUCGAUUUUUUUGUUUUCCCAUACAAAUGAAUUUUGCGGAAAAUAAAAAGUGGCCCGCGAGCCCGGUCUGGCGUGCGCCCUACCAAAAGUCCGGCGGAGGAUAUAUAAGGGAGGCUUGCCCGGCCGGGGCCCGCUGAAAACUCCCGGGUAGGUAAAAGUUGGUGAGUUGUUAGUGGGCGCGGCUGGCUACUGGCUUUUUUCAGUGGAGGAGUUUUUUUUCCAGUGGGUGCGUUCCAGCGCUUAGCCCACUGUAAAUACCGGGCGCGCGGUGCGGGGUGGGUGGUGUAGGGUAGGCUGCACUUUGGUAUAGGGCUGCCCUUGGUAAGGGGUAGGCAUUGUGGUGUAGGGUAGGACGGUCUGACUUGGCCGUAUCCUCGCGCACUUCGCGGGAGGCGGUAUAGGGUAGGCCGAAAUAUGCUAUAGGGUAGGCGACUUGGUACAGGGUAGGUCGCGAAAUCGGUAUAGGGUAGGUUAAAAUAUGCUGCAGGGUAGGCGAUUUAGUGUAGGGUAGGUGCCGAAAGGGCUCUAGGGUAUGUCGAAAUGGGGUGGGUUGGUGCGUCGACGGGGUUUUGGGUAAAAGUGUAUGGGCUGAGUGGUUGAGAUUUGGAAAAGUUGAAAAUGUUGAAAACACAUCCGUCGAAAAAUUUCAAACGCGAAUCUAGCGGCCUACAGCAGCUCUACGGCUACGGGGGCUAGUGCACUGCGACCAGGCUGCUUCAGUGCACUCAAUGCCUUAAAAAGCUGCUUUGGCAUAGGGUAGGCGGUAUAGGGUAGGCUACCCUAUAGUGCGGGUGGUAUAUAGGGUAGGUCGGUCUGACUUGGUGCGCGGCGGAAGCUGGCUACCCUGUAGCGCCGCACAGCGCACGCUGCAGGCGUCGCCGGCCCGCGGGACCACUCGCAAUCGACUCGCAGGCCUCGGUUGCGUCGAUUGAGCUCGCGAAGGAAAAAUGCGUGCGAAAUGGUUUUGCGGUUUGGUGGCCGUGAGUCGAUUUUUUUGUUUUCCCAUACAAAUGAAUUUUGCGGAAAAUAAAAAGUGGCCCGCGAGCCCGGUCUGGCGUGCGCCCCGCUAAAAGUCCGUCGGUGGGUAUAUGAGAGGGGGGCAAAAGAGCCCGGCCGGAAACGGUCGGGGUCUCGAGCCUCCGCAACACUCUAAGUGGUCCCGUAAGGCGCCGCGACUCUAUAUCAGUACCUGAUCUUGCAGAUUCCCACUGCGUGGCCCUCUGAACAAGCUUGCAGGCUCCGGCUUCGCUAGCGGGGGGUUCAUAGUGGGCGUCGACCUCCACGAAAGCGACCGCCCAGGCGGUACGGCGUACUGGGGAUGCCUGGCUAUAGCGGACGUAGGCUUGCCUGCGACCGCUGCCGGUUGGGCUCUGUGGGUAACUGGCCGAUGGCUAGACUUACCAACUGAGCAUCGGGAGGCAACCUCUCGUGACGGACACCGCAAUGGUAGAAGUCUCGUGCAGCGUCCUCCUCUUGGGGCCCCUAAGCCACACGGCCCGCUACGGGUGCGGUGCGGCGGACGGAAGCCCUGGGGAAUUUAGAGGGGGAAAUCGGAAUGCCGACCACGGCGCUAUUGGCCCUGCCGACAGCGCUGUGUGCGGCGCGCCUUCACGGGCGCCGUCCAGUAACUUAACAUCUCUCCAGCG
rnacentral:misc_RNA from 1 species